rnacentral:rRNA from 1 species
UGAAAUUCUCCACAUGAGCGAAAGCUUGAUGGAGCGACACAGCGUGACAGGAUGAAGGUCUUCGGAUUGUAAACUGCUGUUAUAAGGGAAGAAAAACUAGUAGAGGAAAUGCUAUUAGCCUGACGGUACCUUAUCAGAAAGCACCGGCAAACUAUGUGCCAGCAGCCAGCGGUAAUA